CCUUACACAAAGGGAUAGCCUCGGGAAACCGGGAUUAAUACCAUAUGAUAUCUAUUCACCGCAUGGCUUAUAGAUUAAAGAAAUUCGGUGUAAGAUGAGCUCGCGUCCCAUUAAUUAGUUGGUGAGGGUAACGGCCCACCAAGAUAGCGAUGGGUAGCCGAUCUAAGAGGAUGACCGGCCACAUUGGAACUGAGAAACGGUCCAAACUCCUACGGGAGGCAGCAGUGGGGAAUAUUGCACAAUGGGGGAAACCCUGAUGCAGCGACGCCGCGUGAGCGAUGAAGGCUUUCGAGUCGUAAAGCUCUGUCCUAUGGGGAGAUAAUGACGGUACCAUAGAAGAAAGCCCCGGCUAAUUACGUGCCAGCAGCCGCGGUAAUACGUAAGGGGCGAGCGUUGUCCGGAAUUAUUGGGCGUAAAGAGUGCGUAGGCGGCAAAUUAAGUCAGAUGUGAAAACUAAGGGCUCAACCCAUAGAUUGCAUCUGAAACUGAUAUGCUUGAGUCAAGGAGAGGAAAGUGGAAUUCCUAGUGUAGCGGUGGAAUGCGUAGAUAUUAGGAGGAAUACCGGUGGCGAAGGCGACUUUCUGGACUUGAACUGACGCUGAGGCACGAAAGCGUGGGGAGCAAACAGGAUUAGAUACCCUGGUAGUCCACGCCGUAAACGAUGAGUGCUAGGUGU
rnacentral:rRNA from 1 species